GUGGGGAAUAUUGGACAAUGGGCGAAAGCCUGAUCCAGCCAUGCCGCGUGUGUGAAGAAGGUCUUCGGAUUGUAAAGCACUUUAAGUUGGGAGGAAGGGCAGUAAGUUAAUACCUUGCUGUUUUGACGUUACCGACAGAAUAAGCACCGGCUAACUUCGUGCCAGCAGCCGCGGUAAUACGAAGGGUGCAAGCGUUAAUCGGAAUUACUGGGCGUAAAGCGAGCGUAGGUGGUUUUGUAAGUUGGAGGUGAGAUCCCCGGGCUCAACCUGGGAACUGCCUCCAGAACUGCAUGACUAGAGUACGGUAGAGGGUAGUGGAAUGUCCUGUGUAGCGGUGAAAUGCGUAGAUAUAGGAAGGAACACCAGUGGCGAAGGCGACUACCUGGACUGAUACUGACACUGAGGUGCGAAAGCGUGGGGAGCAAACAGGAUUAGAAACCCUUGUAGUCC
rnacentral:rRNA from 1 species